rnacentral:rRNA from 2 species
UACGUAGGGGGCAAGCGUUGUCCGGAAUCAUUGGGCGUAAAGAGCGUGUAGGCGGCCAGAUAAGUCCGCUGUGAAAACUCGAGGCUCAACUUCGAGCUGUCGGUGGAAACUAUCUGGCUAGAGUCCGGAAGAGGAGAGUGGAAUUCCUGGUGUAGCGGUGAAAUGCGCAGAUAUCAGGAAGAACACCCGUGGCGAAGGCGGCUCUCUGGUACGGAACUGACGCUGAGACGCGAAAGCGUGGGGAGCGAACAGG